GGGCUCAUAGCUCAGGUGGUAGAGCGUACCCCUGAUAAGGGUAAGGUCCCUGGUUCAAGUCCAGGUGGGCCCACCA
rnacentral:tRNA from 2 species